CAGUAGCCGCGGUAAUACAGAGGGUGCGAGCGUUAAUCGGAUUUACUGGGCGUAAAGCGUGCGUAGGCGGCUUCUUAAGUCGGAUGUGAAAUCCCUGAGCUUAACUUAGGAAUUGCAUUCGAUACUGGGAAGCUAGAGUAUGGGAGAGGAUGGUAGAAUUCCAGGUGUAGCGGUGAAAUGCGUAGAGAUCUGGAGGAAUACCGAUGGCGAAGGCAGCCAUCUGGCCUAAUACUGACGCUCAUGCACGAAAGCGUGGGGAGCAAACAGGAUUAGAUACCCCUGUAGUCCCUGUCUCUUAUAC
rnacentral:rRNA from 1 species